rnacentral:rRNA from 1 species
GAUGAACGCUGGCGGCGUGCCUAAUACAUGCAAGUCGAGCGAACGGACGAGAAGCUUGCUUCUCUGAUGUUAGCGGCGGACGGGUGAGUAACACGUGGAUAACCUACCUAUAAGACUGGGAUAACUUCGGGAAACCGUAGCUAAUACCGGAUAAUAUUUUGAACCGCAUGGUUCAAAAGUGAAAGACGGUCUUGCUGUCACUUAUAGAUGGAUCCGCGCUGCAUUAGCUAGUUGGUAAGGUAACGGCUUACCAAGGCAACGAUGCAUAGCCGACCUGAGAGGGUGAUCGGCCUCACUGGAACUGAGACACGGUCCAGACUCCUACGGGAGGCAGCAGUAGGGAAUCUUCCGCAAUGGGCGAAAGCCUGACGGAGCAACGCCGCGCGAGUGAUGAAGGUCUUCGGAUCGUAGAACUCUGUUAUUAGGGAAGAACAUAUGUGUAAGUAACUGUGCACAUCUUGACGGUACCUAAUCAGAAAGCCACGGCUAACUACGUG